CACUCAUUUAAAAUAUAGUUAUAAAAAAAACAUUAGAAAUUGAGAAGGGUCAUAACGUGGUUUUAUUCUUAUCCGUUAAUAGCUUUUAUGAUUCAAGAGUUCACGUACGUUACAGAGUUAGCUACGGUUUUUUAAGAAAAAAUUAUGUUUGACCUUUUGUGGGGUUGAAACGUUUUUUUAUCAUUAGUUUUGUCACUUUAUUUCUCAACGUUCUGGGCUCAUGUGUUAAUUGCUAAGCCGUUUCAUUUAUAUUAAUUUGGGUGUCUUAAUUUAUUCUUUUGAUUGCCUAGUUCCGAAUCUUUUGUUUAACGUCUACCUUCUCUUUUAAAUUGAAUAGAUGUCGGUAUACAUAGAAUGGUGUUGGUUGCAAAGUGAUAUUAUUAUUUUUCUUUAUUAGAUGAAACAUUGUAUUUUCUUUGAAUAAAAGAGAAAGACGAAGUAUGUAUAUAUU